CCUACGGGAGGCAGCAGUGGGGAAUAUUGGACAAUGGGCGCAAGCCUGACCCAGCAACGCCGCGUGAAGGAAGACGGCUUUCGGAUUGUAAACUUCUUUUCUCAGGGACGAAGCAAGUGACGGUACCUGAGUAAUAAGCCACGGCUAACUACGUGCCAGCAGCCGCGGUAAUACGUAGGUGGCAAGCGUUAUCCGGAUUUACUGGGUGUAAAGGGAGUGUAGGCGGGGAGGCAAGUCAGAUGUGAAAACCACGGGCUCAACCUGUGGCUUGCAUUAGAAACUGUGUGUCUUGAGUACUGGAGAGGAAGACGGAAUUCCUAGUGUAGCGGUGAAAUGCGUAGAUAUUAGGAGGAACACCAGUGGCGAAGGCGGUUUGCUGGACAGAAACUGACGCUGAGGCGCGAAAGCGUGGGGAGCGAACAGGAUUAGAUACCCGUGUAGUC
rnacentral:rRNA from 1 species